AUGGUUGCAAUCCACCAGUGUUAGAAUCCAUACAGAAAUUGUACCCUGAUUUAUUUGACUAUGGUGAUGAUAUAAGAAACCUCAAAAUGAAUGUAAGAAUCAAGUUUAAGAGUAAAAACUCUCAAAGUCUGGGUGAUCUAUUCCUGGGUAUGCUCAAAUAUUACAGUGUGGAAUUCAGUUUUGAUGAUGAUGUGAUAAGUGUGAGACACAGGGAACUAAACUACCAUUAC